rnacentral:rRNA from 1 species
AUUGAACGCUGGCGGCAUGCCUUACACAUGCAAGUCGAACGGUAACAGGCCGCAAGGUGCUGACGAGUGGCGAACAGGUGAGUAAUGCAUCGGAACGUGCCCAGUAGUGGGGGAUAGCACGGCGAAAGCCGGAUUAAUACCGCAUACGACCUGAGGGUGAAAGGGGGGGAUCGCAAGACCUCUCGCUAUUGGAGCGGCCGAUGUCAGAUUAGUUAGUUGGUGGGGUAAAGGCCUACCAAGGCAACGAUCUGUAGUUGGUCUGAGAGGACGACCAGCCACACUGGGACUGAGACACGGCCCAGACUCCUACGGGAGGCAGCAGUGGGGAAUUUUGGACAAUGGGGGCAACCCUGAUCCAGCAAUGCCGCGUGUGUGAAGAAGGCCUUCGGGUUGUAAAGCACUUUUGUUCGGAACGAAACGGCGCCGGCUAAUACCUGGCGCUAAUGACGGUACCGGAAGAAUAAGCACCGGCUAACUACGUGCCAGCCGCCGCGGUAACAC